CCUACGGGUGGCAGCAGUCGAGAAUUAUUCACAAUGGGGGAAACCCUGAUGGUGCGACGCCGCGUGGGGGAAUGAAGGUCUUCGGAUUGUAAACCCCUGUCAUGUGGGAGCAAAUUAAAAAGAUAGUACCACAAGAGGAAGAGACGGCUAACUCUGUGCCAGCAGCCGCGGUAAUACAGAGGUCUCAAGCGUUGUUCGGAAUCACUGGGCGUAAAGCGUGCGUAGGCUGUUUCGUAAGUCGUGUGUGAAAGGCGCGGGCUCAACCCGCGGACGGCACAUGAUACUGCGAGACUAGAGUAAGGGAGGGGGAACCGGAAUUCUCGGUGUAGCAGUGAAAUGCGUAGACAUCGAGAGGAACACUCGUGGCGAAGGCGGGUUCCUGGACAGUAACUGACGCUGAGGCACGAAGGCCAGGGGAGCGAAAGGGAUUAGAUACCCCAGUAGUC
rnacentral:rRNA from 1 species